rnacentral:misc_RNA from 1 species
CAGUGUUCCUGCCCUCACGGGUAGAAGCCCCCACCCUUGUAUAUUCUAUCUUGUUGCUUUGGCAGGCCGCCUUGGGGCACCGGCUCGCGCCGGCUCGUGCCUGCCAGAGGACCCCAAAUUCUAAAUGUUAGUGUCGUCUGAGUAUUAUAUAAUAGUUA